UACGUAGGGUGCGAGCGUUGUCCGGAAUUACUGGGCGUAAAGAGCUCGUAGGUGGUUUGUCGCGUUGUUCGUGAAAACUCACAGCUUAACUGUGGGCGUGCGGGCGAUACGGGCAGACUGGAGUACUGCAGGGGAGACUGGAAUUCCUGGUGUAGCGGUGGAAUGCGCAGAUAUCAGGAGGAACACCGGUGGAGAAGGCGGGUCUCUGGGCAGUAACUGACGCUGAGGAGCGAAAGCGUGGGGAGCGAACAGG
rnacentral:rRNA from 1 species